rnacentral:lncRNA from 1 species
AGCUGCGUUUAUCUUUUACUUUCCAACACUGAAAAUGUUGGUUCCUCUGAAACUCUUGAUCUGAAUCGUAUAUCUACGGAUACAUAUCAUUCAACUUUUCAUUGAAAUUGACUUAUUAACUGAUUUUCAGCUCUUCGCCAUCACUAGUCCUCUGCAAGCUCUCUUUAUACGAAAAAGAUCUGUUCAGUGCGUGAAGAUGGAAGAGUCGAAGAAGACGAGAGCCGUUGAUGAGGACACUUUUAGGUGUGAAGCGGGGACUGACGGUUGCGAUGCGUCCACGUCGGCAACUGCCACGCCGUGCUUUUAACGGCUGGCAACCGGUUCGGGUGGUGCGUGUCGUGUGGUUCUGCGCACUGUCCACCUGGAAUUGCCGGUGCAGUGUACGUUGCUGGGCCCAUGUGACAUGGGAAUGUUCUGUUUAAUCUUUUUUCUCUCUAACUU